AAUUGACGGGCCGCUUCCGCAGUCAAUUAUGGAAGGACCCGCGUCGCAUUACAAAUUUGGAGAGGUAACGGCUCUCCAAGGCAACGAUGCGUAGUCGACCUGAAAGGGUGAUCGGCCACUGUGGGACUAAGACACGGACCGGACUCCUACGGGAGGCAACAGUAGGGAAUCUUCCGCAUUGGACAAAAGUCUGACGGAGCCACGCCGCGUGGAUGAUGAAGGCUUUCGGGUCGUAAAACUCUGUUGUUAGGGAAGAACAAUUGCUUCUUUAAUAAGCUGGUACCUUGAAGGUACCUAAUCAGAGAGCCUCGUGUAAUUAUGUGCCAGGAGGCUACCGUCAUACGUACGUUGCAAGAGUUUCCCGGAAUUAUUGGGCAUCAACCGAGUGCUAUUGAUGUCUUUUCCUUGAUGUGAAAGAUCCAAGGCCCCAACCGGGGAGGGUCAUUG
rnacentral:rRNA from 1 species